rnacentral:lncRNA from 1 species
GAUUAGGGUUUAUAUUUCUAUGUAGGGUUUAGUGAUUAGUGGUUAGAGUUUAGUUUAUGAAAGAUUGGGGUUGACAUUGGAUUAGGUUUAUAUUUCCGUGAUUAGUUUAUAGGAUUUACUUUAUGUACGACUGGAAUUGACAUUGGGGAAAACAUUACCACCUUCCAUGAAGGCAUAGCCAAAUCAACAUUUGAAAAUAUGUUAAGAUGAUCUUUAAAUUGCAAUUACAUUUUCACCUUUUCUAUUCAAUAUGCUCAUGUAGAAUGGAAAUACAUGUUACUUGUAUUUCGAAAUUUGGGUUUAGUUUAUGAAAGUGGGAUUGACAUUGGAUUAGUGUUUAUAUUUCCAUGUAGGGUUAGUGAUUAGUGGCUAGGAUUUAGUUUAUGAAAGAUUAUGAUUGACAUUGGAGUAGGGUUUAUAUUUCCGUAUAGGGUUUAGUGAUAUUAGUUGAUAGAAUUUAGUUUAUGUACGUUUGGGGUUGACAUUGGGGCUAGUAUUACCACAUUCCAUGAAAGUAUAUCCAUAUCAACAUUUGAGAAAUAUGUUAAGAUGAUCCUUAGAUUGGAACUACAUUUUCACAUUUGCUAUUCUAUAUGCCUCAUGUAGAAUGAUAAUGCAUCUUACUGGUAUUUCGAAAUUUGUAUUUAAUUUAUGAAAAAUUGGGGUUGACAUUGGAUUAUGGUUUAUAUUUCCAUGUAGAGUUUAGUGAUUACUUGAUUGGGUUUAGUCUAUACUUCGUGUUGGAUUAUUUCUUCGUAAGUUUAUUUUUUAGAUUUUGAUAUUUGGAUUUAAGGUUUAUAUUUGAGUUAUGGUCUAGUGAUUAGAUUUUAGGGUUUAGUAUUUAGAAGGUAAGAUGGUAUGGUUGAAGCCAUCAUUAAAUUCUUCAAUGCAAUAAUAGAUAUUUCAUAAUAUCACCAAUAUGUAUUAUGUUAUUUAUUUUGUUCCAUUCUAUUUGGAUUUUAAUUUUAUAUUUGGGUUUAGUAUUUAGGGGUUUGGAUGGAUUAUGAUAAAGUCUAAUAUUUUGAUUUUAGAGGUUGAGAUAGUGAUGGUGUCUUAUACUACUUAUUUGAUAUGGAAUAGAACAUUUAAGCUUUUUAUAUUUUCAACUUCUUCAAUGUUUGUUCUUUGUAGAUGGAUAUCGAGGGUUGGUAAAUUGAAUAAACCAUUUAUUUCAAACAUGUUCAUAUUUUAC